AUUGAACGCUGGCGGCAGGCUUAACACAUGCAAGUCGAGCGGGGGAAGGUAGCUUGCUACCGGACCUAGCGGCGGACGGGUGAGUAAUGCUUAGGAAUCUGCCUAUUAGUGGGGGACAACAUCUCGAAAGGGAUGCUAAUACCGCAUACGUCCUACGGGAGAAAGCAGGGGAUCUUCGGACCUUGCGCUAAUAGAUGAGCCUAAGUCGGAUUAGCUAGUUGGUGGGGUAAAGGCCUACCAAGGCGACGAUCUGUAGCGGGUCUGAGAGGAUGAUCCGCCACACUGGGACUGAGACACGGCCCAGACUCCUACGGGAGGUAGCAGUGGGGAAUAUUGGACAAUGGGGGGAACCCUGAUCCAGCCAUGCCGCGUGUGUGAAGAAGGCCUUAUGGUUGCAAAGCACUUUAAGCGAGGAGGAGGCUACUCUAGUUAAUACCUAGGGAUAGUGGACGUUACUCGCAGAAUAAGCACCGGCUAACUCUGUGCCAGCAGCCGCCGUAA
rnacentral:rRNA from 1 species